CUGAGACAAAAGCUGGGGGAGGCCCAGAAUGAGCUGGAAGCCAAGGACAAGAAGUUAACUGAACUGCUGAGAGAGAGACAGGUCAGGCUGAAGGAGAAGCAGCAGCUUCAGUCCCAACUGGACAUCAUGCAGAAAUCCAUCAGAAAUUUGAGCCAAGACUAUGAAGAGCAGAAGAGGCUUCUGGUACAAGAAGUGUCUCAGCAGGCGGCUUGCAUCAGAGAGCUACAGAUCGUGCUCAGAGAAGGGCAGGCGGACAAGGAGCAGGUGUCAGAGAAUGAGAGUACCCAGAUUCCUACCAAAAUUCCUGACGGAGUGGUGUUGGCCAGUGAUGUGGAGGAAGAGGAGGGAAGAGCUGC